rnacentral:lncRNA from 1 species
CUAUUACUUUGCGAAUCUUUAAAUGAUUUAGCUUAAAAAAAAAAUCUGGAAAUUUUCUUGCACCCUUCGAUCUUGGUAUUUGCACUUGAGACUUUGACAGUAUUUGGAAGAGAGACUGAUAUUUGCUGCAUUCAGCUUUUGUGGAUGUCUCUCCGGAAGAUAAAGAAACCUUAGUGGGGACUCCUUUUGGAAGUGCUGAUGAUGGCAAUGAGACAAGCUCUAUAAAGGAUGCUCCAUUUGAAGUAGAAGUAGGUCUUUUCAGCUUUUGUUACUACAUGCCGAUUUCAAAAAAUUUGUCCAAAUUAUAAGUGUAGCAUCUUAUGCAGGCUUCUCAAAAUGGAGCAGCUUUUAAGCAGGAUACAAGUGUAGGUGCAGGUACAGCUGAGGGUCCUAAUGCUACCGGUAAGUGACUAAUGAUGAGAGAAAAUAUCUUUCAAAAUUAAUUCAAAAUUAGAUGGGGCGGAAUCAAAUUAUACAUAAAUGGUAGAAGCUCCCAAAGUCCUAAUGCUAUGAGGUGCUUAGAAUGUGGAAGUAGUUUAUAGGAGGAGUCCCAUAGGGUGCUAUUUCCUGGUGUUGGCGCUCUGGCAUUGUGGUGCUUGUGUCUUCUAAUUAUGUUAUCUUUUGUCUCUUGAUGGUGAAAGCGACCCUUCCUUUUCCAGUUGGCUGUUUAUUUCGAUUCAAGUUCACCUACAGUAUCAAUAUCUGAAGGA